rnacentral:rRNA from 1 species
GACGAACGCUGGCGGCGUGCUUAACACAUGCAAGUCGAACGGAAAGGCCCUGCUUUUGUGGGGUGCUCGAGUGGCGAACGGGUGAGUAACACGUGAGUAACCUGCCCUUGACUUUGGGAUAACUUCAGGAAACUGGGGCUAAUACCGGAUAGGAUCUCCUGCUGCAUGGUGGGGGUUGGUAAGUUUCGGCGGUUGGGGAUGGACUAGCGGCUUAUCAGCUUGUUGGUGAGGUAGUGGCUUACCAAGGCUUUGACGGGUAGCCGGCCUGAGAGGGUGACCGGCCACAUUGGGACUGAGAGACGGCCCAGACUCCUACGGGAGGCAGAAGUGGAGAAUAUUGCACAAUGGGCGGAAGCCUGAGGCAGCAACGCCGCGUGCGGGAUGACGGCCUUCGGGUUGUAAACCGCUUUCGCCUGUAACGAAGCGGGAGUGACGGUAAUGGGUAAAGAAGCACCGGCUAACUACGUG